rnacentral:piRNA from 1 species
UAGACACGUAAUGUCGAUUAUACAGGAAAG